rnacentral:lncRNA from 1 species
UAUAUACUAACUUCAAUAUGACGUAUAUAGUCAGUGCUUCUACGUAAAAUAACUACCCCACCAUAGCACCUGACGUCUUUUGCCUAAAAUUAAUGUUGGUUAUUAGUGUUUGUUAAGAUGUUGUUUUGCUUUAUUUUUUAUUUUUCAAUGUACACGUGUUUCUGUAUAUGACGUUCGUGUAUGUCAGUGUAAAAAGCUGAUAUUUACUCUAUACACAUUUUCGUAUUAAUUAAGUAUUAAAAUAAGAUAAAUUCCAUGAACCUACGGGUAACAAUUUUGUUAGUGAGACAAGACAAGAUUCAGCGUUUAUAAUAUUAUUGAUUGAUAAAGGUUCCUCCUUAUUUUCAAAAAUUUCAUAAGUUUUAAUACAAAGAGUGUCGUUCUUUGGACCAUGAAUGUGAACCCUAAUGUAGCACCACGAUUAUUAAGGGCUGUACGUUUGUUCAAAGUAUAAAUUACUAUUAAGUGUUGUACAGAAUAUAGUUUGAUUUUAGCCAUAAAACAUAAGCUAAUUACUUUAGAAAUAAAGCAAAAAAUCAGCAAUGUGUAUAUAUGUAUAGACUCUUUUAUCUUACAUGAAUAGAAAUG